GGUAGGUCUCUUUUCGCGAAGCUGGGACAGCAGGAGGAGGGGGCAGGCUGAUUAAGGAGUGAGGCCAGAAGUGGAGAUUCCUAAUCAAUCCUCUCAGCUCUUCCAAGAUUCCACAGAGAACCUCCAAAGUUCCUGUUAAUCUCACUGGAAUUAUGACAGGGCUGACGAAAACAAAAUGCAGUUUUUGAACAGAAAGUUUUUCCAGAAACUGACAGACAGCUGUUAACAAAACACCGGAAGGCCUGUUUGGCUUGAGCAAUGAAGCAGCCCAGACUAGACCAAGCCACCUUGGGGGCACUUGUACCCUGUGCCACCUUGUCACACUGAAAAUGCAAGGAAGCUGACGGACCACAGGCAGAAAACAGAAGAUUCCAGAUGGCUUGAGCCAGAGUGUAAAGGAGGCAUCGCUUCAGUCCUUGCCAAAAACUGAAACAACAAGAAUAAUAGUGUAAUCCGAUGCUGACCAGUUAGUUGGUCUGUUGUCCUCUCUGCUGUUUCCUGUUCCCAUCUUACAAACCCAGGCACAGCCCAGUGGGAGCCCUUGCUCUGUUCUACAGAAUGAGUCUGCCUCGGGUAGGGUCGUGAAUCACAAGUAAAUGACUGUCAGAAUAAAUGAGAAAAUUUGUUGUAAA